AUUGAACGCUGGCGGCAUGCCUUACACAUGCAAGUCGAGCGGCAGCGCGGGGGCAACCCUGGCGGCGAGCGGCGGACGGGUGAGUAAUACAUCGGAACGUGUCCUUUCGUGGGGAGUAACCAGUCGAAGACUGGCUAAUACCGCAUGAGAGUCUCACGAUGAAAGCGGGGACCCGCAAGGCCUCGCGCGAUUGGAGCGGCCGAUGUCGGAUUAGC
rnacentral:rRNA from 1 species